GCCAGGCGUGGUGGUGCACACCUGUAAUCCCAGUAGCUGAAAGGCUGAGACAGGAGAAUUGCGAGUUCAAAGCCAGCCUCAGCAAAAGCAAGGCAUUAAGCAACUUAGUGAGACCCUGUCUUUC
rnacentral:sRNA from 1 species